UACGGAGGUGGCAAGCGUUACUCGGAAUUAUUGGGUGUAAAGGGCAAGUAGGCGGUCUAGUGUGUGGGUGGUGAAAUACUCCGGCUCAAUCGGAGAACAGCCUUCCAAACUAUUAGACUUGAGUGUGACAGAGGAAAAGGGAAUUCUCGGUGUAAGGGUGAAAUCUGUAGAUAUCGAGAAGAACACCAGCGGCGAAGGCGCUUUUCUGGGUCACAACUGACGCUAAAUUGCGAAAGCUAGGGGAGCAAACAGA
rnacentral:rRNA from 1 species